rfam:Clostridium sp. JC272 contig144, whole genome shotgun sequence.
UGUGGUUAUUAUAGCAAAGAGGAUACACCUGUUCCCAUUCCGAACACAGAAGUUAAGCUCUUUAGCGCCGAUGGUACUUGGUGGGAAGCUGCCUGGGAGAGUAGGACGUAGCCGCGU